rnacentral:rRNA from 1 species
AGAGUUUGAUCAUGGCUCAGAUUGAACGCUGGCGGCAUGCCUUACACAUGCAAGUCGAACGGCAGCGCGGGGCAACCUGGCGGCGAGUGGCGAACGGGUGAGUAAUAUAUCGGAACGUACCCUGGAGUGGGGGAUAACGUAGCGAAAGUUACGCUAAUACCGCAUACGAUCUAAGGAUGAAAGCAGGGGACCGCAAGGCCUUGUGCUCCUGGAGCGGCCGAUAUCUGAUUAGCUAGUUGGUGGGGUAAAGGCCUACCAAGGCAUCGAUCAGUAGCUGGUCUGAGAGGACGACCAGCCACACUGGAACUGAGACACGGUCCAGACUCCUACGGGAGGCAGCAGUGGGGAAUUUUGGACAAUGGGCGAAAGCCUGAUCCAGCAAUGCCGCGUGAGUGAAGAAGGCCUUCGGGUUGUAAAGCUCUUUUGUCAGGGAAGAAACGGUGUGGGCUAAUAUCCUGCACUAAUGACGGUACCUGAAGAAUAAGCACCGGCUAACUACGUGCCAGCAGCCGCGGUAAUACGUAGGGUGCAAGCGUUAAUCGGAAUUACUGGGCGUAAAGCGUGCGCAGGCGGUUUUGUAAGUCUGUCGUGAAAUCCCCGGGCUCAACCUGGGAAUUGCGAUGGAGACUGCAAGGCUAGAAUCUGGCAGAGGGGGGUAGAAUUCCACGUGUAGCAGUGAAAUGCGUAGAGAUGUGGAGGAACACCGAUGGCGAAGGCAGCCCCCUGGGUCAAGAUUGACGCUCAUGCACGAAAGCGUGGGGAGCAAACAGGAUUAGAUACCCUAGUAGUCC